AGCGAACGCUGGCGGCAGGCUUAACACAUGCAAGUCGAGCGCCCGUAGCAAUACGGGAGCGGCAGACGGGUGAGUAACACGUGGGAACGUGCCUUUUGGUUCGGAACAACUGAGGGAAACUUCAGCUAAUACCGGAUAAGCCCUUACGGGGAAAGAUUUAUCGCCAAAAGAUCGGCCCGCGUCUGAUUAGCUAGUUGGUGGGGUAAUGGCCCACCAAGGCUACGAUCAGUAGCUGGUCUGAGAGGAUGAUCAGCCACACUGGGACUGAGACACGGCCCAGACUCCUACGGGAGGCAGCAGUGGGGAAUCUUGGACAAUGGGCGCAAGCCUGAUCCAGCCAUGCCGCGUGAGUGAUGAAGGCCUUAGGGUUGUAAGCCCUUUCAGCGGGAAGAUAAUGACGGUACCGCAGAAGAAG
rnacentral:rRNA from 1 species